rnacentral:lncRNA from 10 species
GGCACCACUAGAGAAGCACAGAUAAAAUGGAGAAGAUCAGGGAAAGUCUGAAUGAAGGCCAGCAGGCAGUAUCAGCCGAACCAAGAAGGGCCAUAAAGCUGCAGACCAGGAAAUCUGCCCUCUGAGAGCACAGAAUUUAGAAUGGACAGCAAAUUUAGUAAAAGUAGGUGUUCCAGCUAGAAGAUUUGGAUGAAAAGUGAUUCCAAAAAAAUGAGGCAAUCUCAUCCCGAAACUAUUUAAAACUACUCUCCUCUCUCUUGAUAAACCGUCAGUAGGAAGUGUGUCGUUUAUUCCCUCACUCCACACUGGAUUCAUAUGGGCUGAUAGCAGCAGGAUUAAAAAUUUUUUUCAUCAUGAGUUAAAUCCCUAAGAUUUAGAGUAUUUUGUUUGUCUGAAUGUCUAAGCGGUACAAACCUUAGCAAUCCAUAUUAAAAUGGAGAAUUCCUUCUUUUGGUAUUCACAAGCAUAACAUACAUAAUCCUUUA